rnacentral:rRNA from 1 species
GACGAACGCUGGCGGCGUGCCUAAUACAUGCAAGUAGAACGCUGAAGGAGGAGCUUGCUUCUCUGGAUGAGUUGCGAACGGGUGAGUAACGCGUAGGUAACCUGCCUGGUAGCGGGGGAUAACUAUUGGAAACAAUAGCUAAUACCGCAUAAGAGUAGAUGUUGCAUGACAUUUGCUUAAAAGGUGCAAUUGCAUCACUACCAGAUGGACCUGCGUUGUAUUAGCUAGUUGGUGGGGUAACGGCUCACCAAGGCGACGAUACAUAGCCGACCUGAGAGGGUGAUCGGCCACACUGGGACUGAGACACGGCCCAGACUCCUACGGGAGGCAGCAGUAGGGAAUCUUCGGCAAUGGACGGAAGUCUGACCGAGCAACGCCGCGUGAGUGAAGAAGGUUUUCGGAUCGUAAAGCUCUGUUGUAAGAGAAGAACGAGUGUGAGAGUGGAAAGUUCACACUGUGACGGUAUCUUACCAGAAAGGGACGGCUAACUACGUG